rnacentral:rRNA from 1 species
AGCGAACGCUGGCGGCAGGCCUAACACAUGCAAGUCGAGCGCUCCGCAAGGGGAGCGGCAGACGGGAGAGUAACACGUGGGAACGUGCCCUUUGGUUCGGAACAACCCAGGGAAACUUGGGCUAAUACCGGAUAAGCCCUCACGGGGAAAGAUUUAUCGCCGAAGGAUCGGCCCGCGUCUGAUUAGCUAGUUGGUGGGGUAAUGGCCCACCAAGGCGACGAUCAGUAGCUGGUCUGAGAGGAUGAUCAGCCUCACUGGGACUGAGACACGGCCCAGACUCCUACGGGAGGCAGCAGUGGGGAAUAUUGGACAAUGGGCGCAAGCCUGAUCCAGCCAUGCCGCGUGGGUGAUGAAGGCCCUAGGGUUGUAAAGCCCUUUCGGCGGGGAAGAUAAUGACGGUACCCGCAGAAGAAGCCCCGGCUAACUUCGUGCCAGCCGCCGCCGUAAAAC